UAAUGAUUUAUUUAAAAGAUACAUAAUUAAAACUCUAAUGUUAGGAAAGGUUUUUUUAUAACUUCAUACGUGCAAAAAACAAUUUCUUAAUUAUUUUGGUAGAAUAUAAGUCGUAUACAUUAUAAAAUAGUGAUCAAAUUUCAUUCUCUUAUACACCCAAAUAAGAAAUAACAUGGCUGCAAUUUUCAAAUUUGUUUAUGCUAUAAUUCUAUUUUACUCACUAUUUUUUGCUGCAAUGAAUGUUAAUGCAGCAAUUAAAUGUGAGACAGAUUCCAAUUGUCCACAAAACAUGUGCAUGGCUCCUAGUGUUGUGAGGUGUAUGGGUUCAACAUGUACAUGUGUUGGUUCUCGUGUAUUGCCUUGGGAAGUGAGACAAGGCCCAAACGAAAAAUCAAUAAGCCUCUUUGGAUAAAGGACCACAUAGUCCAUUAACUUAUUAUUAAUUUUGGCAAUUUAUGUUUUCCUCCAAGUGGCUUAGGCCCAAAACUAUUUUAAGUAAUUUUUGUAUCUUAGGCCCAAUAGCCUUUUAUUCUUGUAAACCUAAUAUUUAUAAUGUUGGCUGGAGUUGUAAUAUAUAAGCAUAUUCAUAUCUAUCUUUAAUUUUUAUAGUUUAAA